GACGAACGCUGGCGGCGUGCUUAACACAUGCAAGUCGAACGGAAAGGCCCUGCUUGCAGGGUACUCGAGUGGCUAACGGGUGAGUAACACGUGGGUGAUCUGCCCUGCACUUCGGGAUAAGCCUGGGAAACUGGGUCUAAUACCGGAUAGGUGCCAUUGUUAGUGUGAUGUUUUGAAAGUUUUUUCGGUGUAAGAUGAGCUCGCGGCCUAUCAGCUUGUUGGUGGGGUAAUGGCCUACCAAGGCGGCGACGGGUAGCCGGCCUGAGAGGGUGGACGGCAACAUUGGGACUGAGAGACGGCCCAGACGCCUACGUGAGGCAGCAGGGGGGAAUAUUGCACAAUGGGCGCAAGCCAGAUGCGGCGACGCCCCGUGGGGGAUGACGGGCUUCGGGUUGUAAACGCCUUUCGCUAGGGAAGAAGCUUUUUGUGACGGUACCUAGACAAGAAGCACCGGCUAACUACGUG
rnacentral:rRNA from 1 species